UUGGAACAGGGCGUCCUAGAGGGUGAGAAUCCCGUACGCGGCCGACGAUCAAGCCCGUGUGAAGCCCUUUCGACGAGUCGAGUUGUUUGGGAAUGCAGCUCUAAAUGGGUGGUAAAUUUCAUCUAAAGCUAAAUAUCUGCCAAAGACCGAUAGCGCACAAGUAGAGUGAUCGAAAGAUGAAAAGAACUUUGGAAAGAGAGUUAAACAGUACGUGAAAUCGUUAAAAGGGAAGCGCUUGCAACCAGACUCGCUCGCGGGUGCUCAGCCGUCCCUCGGGGCGGUGCAUUCUCCCGCGGUCGGGCCAGCAUCGGUUCUGGCGGCCGGACAAAGGCCCUGGGAACGUAGCUCCUUUCGGGGAGUGUUAUAGCCCGGGGUGCAAUGCGGCCAGCCGGGACCGAGGACCGCGCAUUCGCUAGGAUGCUGGCGUAAUGGUUGCCAGCGACCCGUCUUGAAACACGGACCAAGGAGUCGACCAACCGGGCGAGUGUUUGGGCGUCAAACCCAUGCGCGCAAUGAAAGUGAACGGAGGUGGGAGCCUUCGGGUGCACCAUCGACCGAUCCUGAUGUCUUCGGAUGGAUUUGAGUACGAGCCCCGCUGGUCGGACCCGAAAGAUGGCGAACUAUGCGUGAAUAGGGCGAAGCCAGAAGAAAUUCUGGUGGAGGCUCGCAGCGGUUCUGACGUGCAAAUCGAUCGUCAAAUUUGCGCAUAGGGGCGAAAGACUAAUCGAGCCAUCUAGUAGCUGGUUCCCGUCGAAGUUUCCCUCAGGAUAGCAGCAACGGAAACAGUCUCAUGAGGUAGAGCGAACGAUUAGAGGCAUGGGGGUUGAAACAACCUUCACCUAUUCUCGAACUUCGAAUAUGUGAGAAGUCCUUGUUACUUAGUUGAACGUGGACAUUUCGGAUGUAUCGUGYUAGGU
rnacentral:rRNA from 1 species